GGUUAAGCGACUAAGCGUACACGGUGGAUGCCCUGGCAGUCAGAGGCGAUGAAGGACGUGCUAAUCUGCGAAAAGCGUCGGUAAGGUGAUAUGAACCGUUACAGCCGGCGAUGUCCGAAUGGGGAAACCCAGUGCAAUUCGUUGCACUAUCGUUUGAUGAAUACAUAGUCAAACGAGGCGAACCGGGGGAACUGAAACAUCUAAGUACCCCGAGGAAAAGAAAUCAACCGAGAUUCCCCCAGUAGCGGCGAGCGAACGGGGAGCAGCCCGGAGUCUGAAUCAGCUUGUGUGUUAGUGGAAGCGUCUGGAAAGUCGCAGGGUACAGGGUGAUACUCCCGUACACUAAAACGCACAGGCUGUGAACUCGAAGAGUAGGGCGGGACACGUGGUAUCCUGUCUGAAUAUGGGGGGACCAUCCUCCAAGGCUAAAUACUCCUGACUGACCGAUAGUGAACCAGUACCGUGAGGGAAAGGCGAAAAGAACCCCGGCGAGGGGAGUGAAAAAGAACCUGAAACCGUGUACGUACAAGCAGUAGGAGCCCACUUGUUGGGUGACUGCGUACCUUUUGUAUAAUGGGUCAGCGACUUAUAUUCUGUAGCAAGGUUAACCGUAUAGGGGAGCCGCAGGGAAACCGAGUCUUAACUGGGCGUUAAGUUGCAGGGUAUAGACCCGAAACCCGGUGAUCUAGCCAUGGGCAGGUUGAAGGUUGGGUAACACUAACUGGAGGACCGAACCGACUAAUGUUGAAAAAUUAGCGGAUGACUUGUGGCUGGGGGUGAAAGGCCAAUCAAACCGGGAGAUAGCUGGUUCUCCCCGAAAGCUAUUUAGGUAGCGCCUCGUGAACUCAUCUUCGGGGGUAGAGCACUGUUUCGGCUAGGGGGUCAUCCCGACUUACCAACCCGAUGCAAACUACGAAUACCGAAGAAUGUUAUCACGGGAGACACACGGCGGGUGCUAACGUCCGUCGUGAAGAGGGAAACAACCCAGACCGCCAGCUAAGGUCCCAAAGUCAUGGUUAAGUGGGAAACGAUGUGGGAAGGCCCAGACAGCCAGGAUGUUGGCUUAGAAGCAGCCAUCAUUUAAAGAAAGCGUAAUAGCUCACUGGUCGAGUCGGCCUGCGCGGAAGAUGUAACGGGGCUAAACCAUGCACCGAAGCUGCGGCAGCGACGCUUAGGCGUUGUUGGGUAGGGGAGCGUUCUGUAAGCCGUUGAAGGUGGCCUGUGAGGGUUGCUGGAGGUAUCAGAAGUGCGAAUGCUGACAUAAGUAACGAUAAUGCGGGUGAAAAACCCGCACGCCGGAAGACCAAGGGUUCCUGUCCAACGUUAAUCGGGGCAGGGUGAGUCGACCCCUAAGGCGAGGCCGAAAGGCGUAGUCGAUGGGAAACAGGUUAAUAUUCCUGUACUUGGUGUUACUGCGAAGGGGGGACGGAGAAGGCUAUGUUGGCCGGGCGACGGUUGUCCCGGUUUAAGCGUGUAGGUGUGUGUUCCAGGUAAAUCCGGUUCACUUUAACACUGAGGCGUGAUGACGAGGCACUACGGUGCUGAAGUGACAAAUGCCCUGCUUCCAGGAAAAGCCUCUAAGCAUCAGGUAACAUCAAAUCGUACCCCAAACCGACACAGGUGGUCAGGUAGAGAAUACCAAGGCGCUUGAGAGAACUCGGGUGAAGGAACUAGGCAAAAUGGUGCCGUAACUUCGGGAGAAGGCACGCUGAUAUGUAGGUGAAGUGAUUUACUCAUGGAGCUGAAAUCAGUCGAAGAUACCAGCUGGCUGCAACUGUUUAUUAAAAACACAGCACUGUGCAAACACGAAAGUGGACGUAUACGGUGUGACGCCUGCCCGGUGCCGGAAGGUUAAUUGAUGGGGUUAUCCGUAAGGAGAAGCUCUUGAUCGAAGCCCCGGUAAACGGCGGCCGUAACUAUAACGGUCCUAAGGUAGCGAAAUUCCUUGUCGGGUAAGUUCCGACCUGCACGAAUGGCGUAAUGAUGGCCAGGCUGUCUCCACCCGAGACUCAGUGAAAUUGAACUCGCUGUGAAGAUGCAGUGUACCCGCGGCAAGACGGAAAGACCCCGUGAACCUUUACUAUAGCUUGACACUGAACACUGGUCCUUGAUGUGUAGGAUAGGUGGGAGGCUUUGAAGUGUGGACGCCAGUCUGCAUGGAGCCAUCCUUGAAAUACCACCCUUUAAUGGCUGGUGUUCUAACGUGGGCCCCUAAUCGGGGUUGCGGACAGUGUCUGGUGGGUAGUUUGACUGGGGCGGUCUCCUCCUAAAGAGUAACGGAGGAGCACGAAGGUCAGCUAAUCCUGGUCGGACAUCAGGAGGUUAGUGCAAUGGCAUAAGCUGGCUUGACUGCGAGCGUGACGGCGCGAGCAGGUGCGAAAGCAGGUCAUAGUGAUCCGGUGGUUCUGAAUGGAAGGGCCAUCGCUCAACGGAUAAAAGGUACUCCGGGGAUAACAGGCUGAUACCGCCCAAGAGUUCAUAUCGACGGCGGUGUUUGGCACCUCGAUGUCGGCUCAUCACAUCCUGGGGCUGAAGUAGGUCCCAAGGGUAUGGCUGUUCGCCAUUUAAAGUGGUACGCGAGCUGGGUUUAGAACGUCGUGAGACAGUUCGGUCCCUAUCUGCCGUGGGCGCUGGAGAAUUGAGGGGGGCUGCUCCUAGUACGAGAGGACCGGAGUGGACGCAUCACUGGUGUUCGGGUUGUCAUGCCAAUGGCAUUGCCCGGUAGCUAAAUGCGGAAGAGAUAAGUGCUGAAAGCAUCUAAGUACGAAACUUGCCCCGAGAUGAGUUCUCCCUGACCCUUUAAGGGUCCUGAAGGAACGUUGAAGACGACGACGUUGAUAGGCCGGGUGUGUAAGCGCAGCGAUGCGUUGAGCUAACCGGUACUAAUGAACCGUGAGGCUUAACCUU
rnacentral:rRNA from 1 species